GACGAACGCUGGCGGCGUGCCUAAUACAUGCAAGUCGAACGCUUUUUCUUUCACCGGAGCUUGCUCCACCGAAAGAAAAAGAGUGGCGAACGGGUGAGUAACACGUGGGUAACCUGCCCAUCAGGAGGGGAUAACACUUGGAAACAGGUGCUAAUACCGUAUAACACUAUUUUCCGCAUGGAAGAAAGUUGAAAGGCGCUUUUGCGUCACUGAUGGAUGGACCCGCGGUGCAUUAGCUAGUUGGUGAGGUAACGGCUCACCAAGGCAACGAUGCAUAGCCGACCUGAGAGGGUGAUCGGCCACACUGGGACUGAGACACGGCCCAGACUCCUACGGGAGGCAGCAGUAGGGAAUCUUCGGCAAUGGACGAAAGUCUGACCGAGCAACGCCGCGUGAGUGAAGAAGGUUUUCGGAUCGUAAAACUCUGUUGUUAGAGAAGAACAAGGAUGAGAGUAAAAUGUUCAUCCCUUGACGGUAUCUAACCAGAAAGCCACGGCUAACUACGUGCCAGCCGCCGCGGUAA
rnacentral:rRNA from 1 species